UUUAUAAUAACCAAUAGUUAAAUGAAUUUUUAAAAUGAACGCUAUUGCAAACAAUAAACAGGACACAAAUCGGGACUGCGGAACUGUAUCCUUUCUUAUUUUGUGACGGUAGGCAGCCUACUACUUCAAGAGUUUUUUACAAGUCGAGAGGAAAGCCCACAAGAUCUGAACGGGCUGAGAUUGGCUCAUGUGGCAUUUCUUCCUUUUUCCUUGGCUACUCCAAGACUACCACAGCCUGUACUAUAAUGUACCUACUCAGAACUCUGAACCACAGCUUUAAUAUUUUUGUUCAAUAGAAAUAAAUAUCUACUUACCUAGGUACUAUUUACCUAGGUACCGAGUUCUGUCAAUCAUAGAAUUCACACUUCUAUUGUACAGUACUUAGUUACAAGUUAACCUUCACCGACUGUUACAAUAGGUAAAUACUUAGGAUAACUACCGGUAAAUAGUUAGGUGAGUACCUACCUAUCAGAAUAAUUUCAGCAAAAAAUCAUGACCAGGCGAUUUUAAACCAACCGGUUCGAGAAUGAUUCUGUUAUUUAUUAUUGCUGAUUGCGUAACGUAUUUACCAGUUUAAGUGAUAAUUAUUUAUACUAGAUAUAAUAAUAAGUAGGUACCUAUA